CGGACGGGUGAGUAACGCGUGAGAAUCUGCCCUUAGGACGGGGACAACAGCUGGAAACGGCUGCUAAUACCCGAUGUGCCGAGAGGUGAAACAUUUAUGGCCUGAGGAUGAGCUCGCGUCUGAUUAGCUAGUUGGUGGGGUAAGAGCCUACCAAGGCGACGAUCAGUAGCUGGUCUGAGAGGAUGAUCAGCCACACUGGGACUGAGACACGGCCCAGACUCCUACGGGAGGCAGCAGUGGGGAAUUUUCCGCAAUGGGCGCAAGCCUGACGGAGCAAGACCGCGUGCGGGAGGACGGCCUAUUGGUUGUAAACCGCUUUUGAUAGGGAAGAAGUACUGACGGUACCUAUCGAAUCAGCAUCGGCUAACUCCGUGCCAGCAGCCGCGGUAAUACGGAGGAUGCAAGCGUUAUCCGGAAUUAUUGGGCGUAAAGCGUCCGUAGGUGGUUGUUCAAGUCUGCUGUUAAAGCGUGCGGCUUAACCGCAUACCAGCAGUGGAAACUGGACGACUAGAGUGCGGUAGGGGUCAGGGGAAUUCCCAGUGUAGCGGUGAAAUGCGUAGAUAUUGGGAAGAACACCGGUGGCGAAAGCGCCUGACUGGACCUGCACUGACACUGAGGGACGAAAGCUAGGGGAGCGAAAGGGAUUAGAUACCCCUGUAGUCCUAGCCGUAAACGAUGGACACUAGGUGUUGCCCGUAUCGACCCGGGCAGUGCCGUAGCCAACGCGUUAAGUGUCCCGCCUGGGGAGUACGCUCGCAAGAGUGAAACUCAAAGGAACUGACGGGGGCCCGCACAAGCGGUGGAGUAUGUGGUUUAAUUCGAUGCAACGCGAAGAACCUUACCAGGGCUUGACAUGUCCAGAACCCUGCUGAAAGGCGGGGGUGCCUUCGGGAACUGGAGCACAGGUGGUGCAUGGCUGUCGUCAGCUCGUGUCGUGAGAUGUUGGGUUAAGUCCCGCAACGAGCGCAACCCUCGUUUUUAGUUGCCAUCAUUUAGUUGGGCACUCUAGAGAGACUGCCGGUGACAAACCGGAGGAAGGUGGGGAUGACGUCAAGUCAGCAUGCCCCUUACGUCCUGGGCUACACACGUACUACAAUGCUGCGGACAAAGGGUUGCAAGCUCGCGAGAGCAAGCUAAUCCCAUAAACCGUGGCUCAGUUCAGAUUGCAGGCUGCAACUCGCCUGCAUGAAGGAGGAAUCGCUAGUAAUCGCAGGUCAGCAUACUGCGGUGAAUACGUUCCCGGGCCUUGUACACACCGCCCGUCACACCAUGGGAGUUGGCCACGCCCGAAGUCGUUACUCCAACCCUCGGGAGGAGGACGCCGAAGGCAGGGCUGAUGACUGGGGUGAAG
rnacentral:rRNA from 1 species